rnacentral:tRNA from 1 species
UCCCUUGUGGUCCAGCAGUUAGGACUCUGCACUUUCACUGCUGAGGGCCUGGGUUCAAUCUCUGGUCAGGGAA